rnacentral:rRNA from 1 species
UUUUUAUUGAGAGUUUGAUCCUGGCUCAGGACGAACGCUGGCGGCGUGCCUAACACAUGCAAGU